CGGGGUGCACCAGGCGCGAAAACUUUACAAUGCUGGCAACAGCGAUAAGGGGACCUUGAGUGCCAGGAUACAAUCUUGGCUGUCGUCGUGUCUAAAAAACACGAUAUAGCAAGGGCCGGGCAAGACCGGUGCCAGCCGCCGCGGUAACACCGGCGGCUCGGGUGGUAACCGCUAUUAUUGGGUCUAAAGGGUCUGUAGCCGGCUUGGUUAGUCUCUUGGGAAAUCCGGCAGCUUAACUGUCGGGCUUUCAGGAGAUACUGCCAGGCUCGAGACCGGGAGAGGUGAGAGGUACUUCAUGGGUAGGGGUGAAAUCUUGUAAUCCUUGAAGGACCACCUGUGGCGAAGGCGUCUCACCAGAACGGAUCUGACGGCAAGGGACGAAAGCUAGGGGCACGAACCGGAUUAGAUACCCGGGUAGUCCUAGCCGUAAACGAUACUCGCUAGGUGUCGGCCACGGUGCGACCGUGGUCGGUGCCGUAGGGAAGCCGUGAAGCGAGCCACCUGGGAAGUACGGCCGCAAGGCUGAAACUUAAAGGAAUUGGCGGGGGAGCA
rnacentral:rRNA from 1 species